UACGUAGGGGGCAAGCGUUGUCCGGAUUUAUUGGGCGUAAAGAGCGUGUAGGCGGCCAGGUAGGUCGGCUGUGAAAACUCGAGGCUCAACCUCGAGCUGUCGGCCGAAACCAUCUGGCUAGAGUCCGGAAGAGGAGAAUGGAAUUCCCGGUGUAGUGGUGAAAUGCGCAGAUAUCGGGAAGAACACCCGUGGCGAAGGCGGUUCUCUGGGCCGAUACUGACGCUGAGGAGCGAAAGCGUGGGGAGCGAACAGG
rnacentral:rRNA from 1 species